CCCUCCAGGCCAGGAGCUUCUCACUGCAUUUCUGUCCAAACUUUGUGGAUGCAACAAAAUAAUUAAGAAAAAGUCUUCACAUUCUGAGUGAGACCGUGCUACUGUAGGGGAUGUAACUGCCAUGACUGAGAAACACAGGACCUGUUGGUGACCGAGUUAAGCUACAGGCCUGAGAAACUGAAGCCAGGAAUUGCACAUGCACCCAAAGGGAAAAAGGGUAGCUGUGAAGUAAAAAGCAAUAUUGAGAAGAUCUUCAUUUGUAGAGGAAUCUUCUACAGUAUCUCAGACAUCUUUAACACCAGAGACACGGUGGAUGGAUCCCUCAGAAAUACUCCAUGGACUUGCAGAGGCCUACAAACCGUUUUUCUCUACUUCACCGAAUUCCCGUGGUAGAGAAGGAUCUCAACAUUACUUCAAAAGCCUUUUGAAGGUCAGGUUAUACUCUGUGAGUAGCAGUUCACAUCAUAUGCCUCUGGAAAGUGGUUCUCUGCUAUGCAAUUGUUUGGUAAUUUCAUCUGUUUUCUGCAUGUAAAUCAUCUAAUAAGGUACUGCAAGGAUCUGGACCAAAAGCAUUGUCCAUCACAGGCCUUCCUUUAGGAGUGAGAAGACUCUGUGAUUACAAACAUAGGAUAAAACAACAGUUAUAUACAUCAGUGAGAAAGUAAUCUGUGUUUAAUUUUAGCAAGAUUGUUACUAGUGAUGUUCCUAUACAAAUGUGAUAAUGUAAACAAGCAUUUUAUUCUUGUAUGCUUUAUGCUUGUAGCAUUUCCAUUUAUGGAAAUACUCUUCUUCCUAACAAGUUUAUCCAACUUCUGGACUUUCUGCUGGUCCUCAGGCUUUAUAGCAUAUUAUUUGGCUCUAAUUCAUCAUACAGAGAAUCAAUUUCUUUAUUUAUAUUAAUAACCUCAGUGCAUUUGAGAUUCCUCAUAUGUUAAAAAUGGUUGAUAGUGUUGGUAAUCUGGCAUUCCCUGAGUGCAGUGAGGCUGGUGCAAAAUAUCUGACCUUAUUAGGUAAUUUCCUGUUCUAAGAGGCAGUGCAGAAAUAUCCUCCAGUGUAUGAAAUACACUUGCAUUCCGCUGUAAUAGAAGCCUCUCUGUGUAAAACACUACAAUUUUAAACCUUCCAGUAGCUGCUUAAGCUAUCUCUCAGUGUAUGAUGAAUCAGAUAGCAUAUCUUCUUUGUUCUGAAUAGCCUUUUUAAUAAACACACAAUUCCCACAAUUACUUUAUCACCCAUUAUCCAAUUGCCCACUUGAAGAUUUGUGUAUGCGAUUGUUCGUUUGCACUGAAUUUUAUCAUCGGGACUGUACAUUGCUCCUCUCCUUUUCCCCCAGGUUGUUCUGGUCACUUCCAGGCCAGUAUCCAAGGGGAGACUUGAGAACCAUUUCAGAGGAGUAGUGGACUGUUUAGCAGCUUGCUUAUUUCUAGGUUAAUGUCAAGAUUUCAUGGUACAAAUCAAAUAAGAAUGAAAUGCUUAUGUAUCAGUCCAUGCUGCUGAAAUUCAGUU